UACGUAGGGUGCGAGCGUUAAUCGGAUUUACUGGGCGUAAAGCGUGCGCAGGCGGCCCGUUAAGACAGGUGUGAAAUCCCUGGGCUCAACCUAGGAAUUGCGCUUGUGACUGGCGGGCUCGAGUACGGUAGAGGGGGGUGGAAUUCCUGGUGUAGCGGUGAAAUGCGUAGAGAUCAGGAGGAACACCGAUGGCGAAGGCAGCCCCCUGGGCCUGUACUGACGCUCAGGCACGAAAGCGUGGGGAGCAAACAGG
rnacentral:rRNA from 1 species